rnacentral:rRNA from 1 species
UACAGAGGUCUCAAGCGUUGUUCGGAUUCAUUGGGCGUAAAGGGUGCGUAGGCGGCGCGGUAAGUCGGGUGUGAAAUCUCGGGGCUUAACUCCGAAACUGCAUUCGAUACUGCCGUGCUUGAGGACUGGAGAGGAGACUGGAAUUUACGGUGUAGCGGUGAAAUGCGUAGAUAUCGGAAGGAACACCAGUGGCGAAGGCGGCUUCCUGGACUAAUACUGACGCUGAGGUGCGAAAGCGUGGGGAGCAAACAGG